CCCUUGUUCUAUGUUGCCAGCACGUAAUGGUGGGGACUCAUAGGAGACUGCCGGGGACAACUCGGAGGAAGGUGAGGACGACGUCAAGUCAUCAUGCCCCUUACACCUAGGGCUGCACGCAUGCUACAAUGGUCGGUACAACGGGCUGCGAUCCUGCGAAGGUGAGCGAAUCCCUCAAAGCCGGCCUCAGUUCGGAUUGGAGUCUGCAACUCGACUCCAUGAAGUCGGAGUCGCUAGUAAUCGCGGAUCAGCAAAGCCGCGGUGAAUGCGUUCUCGGGGAUUGCACACACCGCCCGU
rnacentral:rRNA from 1 species